rnacentral:rRNA from 1 species
GAUGAACGCUGGCGGCGUGCCUAACACAUGCAAGUCGAGCGUGAACCCUGCGAAUGAAACUUCGGUCGAUUUUGCAGGGGGAAAGCGGCGGACGGGUGAGUAACGCGUAGGUAACCUGCCCCAUACUGAGGGAUAGCCUCGGGAAACCGGGAUUAAUACCUCAUAACACCGUAUAUUCGCAUGGAUGUGCGGUCAAAGAUUUAUCGGUAUGGGAUGGGCCUGCGUCUGAUUAGCUGGUUGGUGGGUAACGGCCUACCAAGGCGACGAUCAGUAGCCGACCUGAGAGGGUGAUCGGCCACGUUGGAACUGAGACACGGUCCAAACUCCUACGGGAGGCAGCAGUGGGGAAUAUUGCACAAUGGGCGAAAGCCUGAUGCAGCAACGCCGCGUGAGCGAAGAAGGCCUUUGGGCGUAAAGCUCUGUCGGGUAGGAAGAUAAUGACGGUACUACCCGAGGAAGCCCCGGCUAACUACGUGCCAGCAGCCGCGGUAAAAGUACUCUU